UGGGGGAUAUUGCACAAUGGGGGAAACCCUGAUGCAGCGACGCCGCGUGGGCGAAGAAGUAUUUCGGUAUGUAAAGCCCUAUCAGCAGGGAAGAAGAAAUGACGGUACCUGAGUAAGAAGCACCGGCUAAAUACGUGCCAGCAGCCGCGGUAAUACGUAUGGUGCAAGCGUUAUCCGGAUUUACUGGGUGUAAAGGGAGCGCAGGCGGCACGGCAAGCCUGAUGUGAAAGCCCGCGGCCCAACCGCGGGACUGCAUUGGGAACUACCGGGCUGGAGUGCCGGAGAGGUAGGCGGAAUUCCUAG
rnacentral:rRNA from 1 species